UGAUGGAUCCGAUGGAUCUGGUGGAUCUGAUGGAUCCAUCGGAUCCAUCAGGUCCAUCAGAUCCAUCGGAUCCAUCG